AUUGAACGCUGGCGGUAUGCUUAACACAUGCAAGUCGAACGGUAACAGGCCUUCGGGCGCUGACGAGUGGCGGACGGUGAGUAACGCGUAGGAAUCUGCCUCAUAGUGGGGACAACGUGGGGAAACUCACGCUAAUACCGCAUACGCCCUACGGGGAAAGCGGGGAGUCUUCGGACCUCGCGCUAUGAGAUGAGCCUGCGUUAGAUUAGCUAGUUGGUAGGGUAAAGGCCUACCAAGGCGACGAUCUAUAGCUGGUCUGAGAGGACGAUCAGCCACACUGGGACUGAGACACGGCCCAGACUCCUACGGGAGGCAGCAGUGGGGAAUAUUGGACAAUGGGCGCAAGCCUGAUCCAGCAAUACCGCGUGUGUGAAGAAGGCCUUAGGGUUGUAAAGCACUUUCAAUUGGGAGGAAAACCUGCCGGUCAAUACCCGGUAGCUUGACAUUACCUUUAGAAGAAGCACCGGCUAAUUCCGUGCCAGCAGCCGCGGUAA
rnacentral:rRNA from 1 species